UUCAAAAGCGAUAAAGCAGACACUUGUUUAACUAGUGGAUCAACCCAAGGCAAUGAGAUUUUAGCCUAUCCGUUGAUACACAGAAGCUUGUGAUGUUAUGGGAAGUAUUACCUGCUAAUAAUAGUCUUGUUCUGCCGCCUACCUCCGGGUCAAUUUUCAAAAGUAAACAUAUUUAAGUGAUUUUUUAUAUUUAUAUAUAUUUCUAUGAAUUGUGAAACAACAAGAGAAACUCUGUAAUUUUAAAA